GAUGAAGAACGCAGCGAAAUGCGAUAAGUAAUGCGAAUUGCAGAAUUUCCGUGAGUCAUCGAAUCUUUGAACGCACAUUGCGCCCACUGGUAUUCCGGUGGGCAUGCCUGUUCGAGCGUCAUUAUCCUCCCUCAAAACUCCUGUUUUGGUGUUGGGCCGCGUUGGUCACCUCCGACCAACGGGCCUUAAAGACAAUGACGGCGUCCGUGGGACCCUCUUCGCAGUGAGCUUUUGUUAGCGCGCGUUGAGUUUAAAGGACCUUCCGGGCCGGCCACCUUUUAUCUAUUUUACAAGGUUGACCUCGGAUCAGGUAGGAAUACCCGCUGAACUUAAGCAUAUCAAUAAGCGGAGGA
rnacentral:misc_RNA from 1 species